rnacentral:rRNA from 1 species
GACUAACGCUGGCGGCGUGCCUAACACAUGCAAGUCGAACGAGAGUAGCAAUACUCUAGUGGCAGACGGGUGAGUAACACGUGGUCAACCUACCUCUAUGUGGGGGAUAACUAGCCGAAAGGUUAGCUAAUACCGCAUACGAUCGUCGAGCGGCAUCGCUUGACGAUGAAAGGAGCAAUCCGCAGAGAGACGGGACCGCGUCCCAUUAGCUAGUUGGUGGGGUAAAGGCCUACCAAGGCGACGAUGGGUAGCUGGCUUGAGAGAGCGACC